CGCCAGCAACAUUCUUUUUUCAUUUAAAGUAUGUUCUUUCUUUGACACAGUGCUGCUGCCCAUUGAGUAGACUGGAGUCCAGUGAGACUCACUCCCUGUGGCAUCUGGAAGCCAGCAGGCGGCUUCUCUGAGGUCUGGACACACGUAUAUAUCUGUGUGACAACGGAGAGAGCUUUUCUGUCGGCAGGAAGAUGACUAAAUACCAGUUUCUGAUUAAACUCACUACAGGUGGUCCUUCAGAAAAGGAGUAAUUGAACUUCGUUAACUCAGUGUUCCUGCUGUGCUUCUUUUUCAUGCCACCAGUUUGCAGGGAUUAACCGAUGCUCUGGGGAGCACACUGCGAAGCUGGCCCAGCUGCACAAUUUGAAGCUGCAAAAUGAAGACAUGGACCCCCAUGUUCAAAACUUAGAAGAAUUUUCCAGUGUGACAGCAGUGGCCCUUAAGGCCCCCUGGAGGAGGCCAGGCGGCCAGGAGCAGCUCCGCAAGGUGGGGCCGCAGUCCGAUGCCCUUGUGCUGGCUCCUCUGAGACGUGCCGCAGGGAGAGGAUGGCGCAGGCCGAGGUCAGCGUGUCCCCGAGACCGUCGCCCGCCACAGGACCUGCAGGGGACGUGCUCGGCUCCCUCAGAGCCUCGGAAAGGCGGGCCUUCAGCGCAGCCGGCCUGGUCCUUGUUAUGCUUUUGCUUGUAACGGCCUUCUUGAGAUACGAUCAACAUGUAGGGAACUGCAUGUUUGACCACUUCUGAGCCACGCGUGGGAACAUGAACCCGGAACCAUCAGGGAGGUGGUGAGCGCGUGAUCGGUGCAUGUCUGCAUUUUGGAGGAACCGCUGCGUCUUUUCCCAAGUGGCCGUGCUGUCCUCCAUCGUCCCCGGGAUGUGCCCUGUGGCUGGUCCGCUUGGCUGUGGGGCUGCGGCGCUGCCUCCCGGGGGCCCGCUUGCACUUCUCAGUGACUUAGGCCUUCCGUUGUGUACUUGCCAUCCUUGUAUCCUCUUCUGCGAAAUGUCUGCUUAAAUAUUGUACUCAUGAAAAGUAA